CCUCUAGAGUCUCUGGUGAUCCCUGCCGGACCUGACUGCUAUCAGAGUGGGACUAAGCCAUGCGAGUUGACGUAGUAAUACGUAGCGAACGGCUCAGUAACACGUAGUCAACAUGCCCAGGGGACGUGGAUAACCUCGGGAAACUGAGAGUAAACCGCGAUAGGUCACAAUUUCUGGAAUGGAUUUUGGCUUAAAUCUACAUGGCCCCUGGAUUGGACUGCGGCCGAUCAGGCUGUUGGUGAGGUAAUGGCCCACCAAACCUGUAACCGGUACGGGCUCUGAGAGGAGAAGCCCGGAGAUGGGCACUGAGACAAGGGCCCAGGCCCUAUGGGGCGCAGCAGGCGCGAAACCUCUGCAAUGGGCGAAAGCCUGACAGGGUUACUCUGAGUGAUUUCCGCUAAGGAGAUCUUUUGGCAGCUCUAAAAAUGGUGCAGAAUAAGGGGUGGGCAAGUCUGGUGUCAGCCGCCGCGGUAAUACCAGCACCCCGAGUGGUCGGGACGAUUAUUGGGCCUAAAGCAUCCGUAGCCGGUUGUGCAAGUCCUCCGUUAAAUCCAGCCGCUCAACGGAUGGGCUGCGGAGGAUACUACAGGACUAGGAGGCGGGAGAGGCAAGCGGUACUUAGUGGGUAGGGGUAAAAUCCUUUGAUCCAUUGAAGACCACCAGUGGCGAAGGCGGCUUGCCAGAACGCGCUCGACGGUGAGGGAUGAAAGCUGGGGGAGCAAACCGGAUUAGAUACCCGGGUAGUCCCAGCUGUAAACGAUGCAGACUCGGUGAUGGGCUAGCCUCGUGUCAGCCCAGUGCCGCAGGGAAGCCGUUAAGUCUGCCGCCUGGGGAGUACGGUCGCAAGACUGAAACUUAAAGGAAUUGGCGGGGGAGCACCACAAGGGGUGAAGCCUGCGGUUCAAUUGGACUCAACGCCGGG
rnacentral:rRNA from 1 species